GAUGAACGCUGGCGGCAGGCCUAACACAUGCAAGUCGAGCGGGACGCGGACGGGAUAGCAAUGACUGGGACACGGCCUGAUGGAGGGGGAUAACUAAUGGAACCGGUAGCUAAUACCGCCUACCAUCGGAUGUGCCCAGAUGGGAUUAGCUAGUAGGAGGGGUAAAGGCUCACCUAGGCGACGAACCCUAACUGGUCUGAGAGGAUGACCAGCCACACUGGAACUGAGACACGGUCCAGACUCCUACGGGAGGCAGCAGUGGGGAAUAUUGCACAAUGGGCGAAAGCCUGAUGCAGCCAUGCCGCGUGUAUGAAGAAGGCCUUCGGGUUGUAAAGCACUUUCAGUGGGGAGGCGUUACCCGCAGAAUAAGCACCGGCUAACUCCGUGCCAGCAGCCGAGGUAAUAC
rnacentral:rRNA from 1 species